UCAGAUUCGAUGAAAUAUCUUGUGAUUUGAAUACGUAAACCUAAUUCUUCUCUCUAGCUAAACCACAACGCCUCCAUCUGUUCAUGCUCACCGUCAACAUAAACGGAAAACCUCUUUGUUGUAAUCGUAUCGAUCUCCUACUUCAGAUCUAUUAAAAAUACCGUUGAGGAAUCUGAUUACCUCUCUGUCGAUUGUUGUGUUGCGUCGAUUGUGUUGCAAUGUCGCCGGUGGACGUGUUGCACAGGUGUUCGUCGAGGAUUCUGAGCUACAUCAAUUUCUUCAAUAAAUCUCCAACAAUGAAUAAAUCUAUGAAGAAGAUGAAGCCUCAAAUGAUAUCAAGAUAUGAUUUUUGGAGCUUGCUAGAGUAUAAGAUAUCCAAUAUCUGAUGGUGGUGGGAGGAAGGAAGAACGGCGACGGUAUUAGGUAAAAAUGGUAGAUUUGAUGGUGGUAGGAAGGAAUGAUGUCAGUAGUGAUGGCGGUGGUUAGUUGUUGGUGGCUUCGUGUGGUAGUUAACGGUGGUGGUAGAAUUUGGGUUUAUUCAAUUACUCUACCAAUUAGAGUAUAAUAAAUGUAUAAACCUACGAAUUAGAGUAUAAUGAAAAUAUUAAACUAUAAAUGAAUAAAUAUAUAUACUAACAAAUAUA